GGCCAGGUGCCCGAACGGUUAGGGGAAGGUCUGCAAAACCUUUUUAUGUGGGUUCGAGUCCCAUCCUGGCCU
rnacentral:tRNA from 1 species